rnacentral:rRNA from 1 species
UGCAAGUCGAACGAAGCACUUGAUUUGAUUCUUCGGAUGAAGAUCUUGGUGAGUGAGUGGCGGACGGGUGAGUAACGCGUGGGUAACCUGCCUCAUACAGGGGGAUAACAGUUAGAAAUGACUGCUAAUACCGCAUAAGACCACAGCACCGCAUGGUGCAGGGGUAAAAACUCCGGUGGUAUGAGAUGGACCCGCGUCUGAUUAGGUAGUUGGUGGGGUAACGGCCUACCAAGCCGACGAUCAGUAGCCGACCUGAGAGGGUGACCGGCCACAUUGGGACUGAGACACGGCCCAAACUCCUACGGGAGGCAGCAGUGGGGAAUAUUGCACAAUGGGGGAAACCCUGAUGCAGCGACGCCGCGUGAGCGAUGAAGUAUUUCGGUAUGUAAAGCUCUAUCAGCAGGGAAGAAAAUGACGGUACCUGACUAAGAAGCACCGGCUAAAUACGUGCCAGCAGCCGCGGUAAUACGUAUGGUGCAAGCGUUAUCCGGAUUUACUGGGUGUAAAGGGAGCGUAGACGGAGUGGCAAGUCUGAUGUGAAAACCCGGGGCUCGACCCCGGGACUGCAUUGGAAACUGUCAAUCUAGAGUACCGGAGAGGUAAGCGGAAUUCCUAGUGUAGCGGUGAAAUGCGUAGAUAUUAGGAGGAACACCAGUGGCGAAGGCGG